GUGCCUACUUUGGCAGCACAUAUACUAUUGGAGCAAUACAGAAAAUAUCAGCAUGGCCCCUGCACAAGAUUGACACAAUUUGUAAAGCUAUCUGUAUUAUUUUG
ensembl:snRNA U6 U6 spliceosomal RNA